rnacentral:rRNA from 1 species
UGGGGAAUAUUGGACAAUGGGGGAAACCCUGAUCCAGCGACGCCGCGUGUGUGAAGAAGGCCUGCGGGUUGUAAAGCACUUUUAGUGGGGACAAAAAGCCAUUGAUUAAUAAUUGGUGGUCUUGAUUUAACCCAAAGAAAAAGCACCGGCUAACUCUGUGCCAGCAGCCGCGGUAAUACAGAGGGUGCGAGCGUUAAUCGGAAUUACUGGGCGUAAAGCGCGCGUAGACGGUUUUGUAAGUCAGAUGUGAAAUCCCCGGGCUCAACCUGGGAACUGCAUUUGAAACUGCAUGGCUAGAGUAUGGUAGAGGGAAGUGGAAUUUCCGGUGUAGCGGUGAAAUGCGUAGAUAUCGGAAGGAACACCAGUGGCGAAAGCGACUUCCUGGGCCAAUACUGACGUUCAUGUGCGAAAGCGUGGGGAGCAAACAGGAUUAGAUACCCGUGUAGUCC